UACGGGAGGCAGCAGUAGGGAAUCUUCCACAAUGGACGCAAGUCUGAUGGAGCAACGCCGCGUGAGUGAAGAAGGGUUUCGGCUCGUAAAGCUCUGUUGUUGGUGAAGAAGGACAGAGGUAGUAACUGACCUUUGUUUGACGGUAAUCAAUUAGAAAGUCACGGCUAACUACGUGCCAGCAGCCGCGGUAAU
rnacentral:rRNA from 1 species